rnacentral:rRNA from 1 species
AUGGGGAAAACGAAGAGCAUUCAGCAUUUCCCCUUGUCCAUGCCUUUCUGGAUCGAAAAGAACAUAGUACUAAGAUAUACAUCGUACCUAUCCACUGGAUCUAGCAGAAAUUCAAGCCCGUUAUGCAAUUCUCCACACACAUCGCCGUACUUCCCUCCGCCACCAUUCUUUCGCCUUCCACCAUUUUACCUGGGGCUGGGGGUAGGGAGUGGGGAGAAGGGUGGGGGCCUGGGUGGAGGGGAAUUGCUCAUUUUUGCAAACAGGGAGAUCGUCAUAUCUCCGGCUGCCCCACAACUGACCUACUACCGAGCAGCAUUUACUGCAACCAUGAUGGCGGCUUUUUUGCAUCAGACGGCGUCCUUACGUGCCUGUUCAGGGAUCAAGAUUUCUUGA